GUUCCUUCGGGGACAUUUGAUAAAGUUGGAACGAUACAGAGAAGAUUAGCACGGCCCCUGCGCAAGAAUGACACGCAUAAAUCGUGAAAUGAUCUAAAAAAUU